GACUGUUUCUCUCAGUUUGGAAAUUUUCAGGAAUGUUCUACUACAUUUCUCACUACUAAGAGAUUCCUCUGGUACCUGUAUACUCUUCUCUUGACCCCGGGCUAUGUGACACACACGUCAAGAUCUCCAAAUGGUUAGAUUGAAUCCGUCUUAUUUGACUUCAGUGAAGGAGAAAGUACCUUCCAUGCUUGUCUGCAUCGUUGAGAGCAGAGAAGGAACAAGUGCUAUAACCAUUCAGCAACUCUAUCAAAACAAAAUUACUUUUCUUAGCAUCUUUA